GAAAUAACUGUUGAAGCCAUGAACAAUCAUGAGAAUAGGAAGCAGAAUCCAUUUGCUUGACACAGCUUGAUAUGUUUAAUGUUAAUAUAAUUAUUAUUUUGAACAGAAUAGAGAAGUUGGCAGCAGAUGGCAGUGAGAAGCCUAGAACUGGUGAUGGAGGUUGGAAGUGUGAAAGGGUUCAGGCCCUUGGAACGAGAACUUCAUAUCAGGAAAAGACAAAUAGUCUCUGCAUGGGGUGGUAUCAGGAACUUCAUGUUACUAACCACUUCAAUUUCCUGUCAAACUAAAUCAGUGGAGUUUCCUCUUCUGCUUUGUACAGCAGAGAUACAACAAUUUCUAAACUGUGUUUCUCCACUGCCUUGGGAGCCUUGAUUUUAAGAAUUUGUUGUUCUGAAUUCUACAACAGUGAGUAUAACAGUUUCUUCCUCUUGAUUUUAUGUCACAGGAUUACAGAUGCAGACGUACCUAUGCAAGUCUGCUUUAACUGGCGUAAUGUAGAAUUAGACAGAAAUCCCAUUUCUUUAUCCAUGGGACUAAAUAAAAAUAAAGAGAAGCUCUUCACAAGUUUACAGUAAAUGAAUCAAGGAUGAGCAGGGGUAACUUUAUUUUGGGGAUAAAGUUUAAUUAAACUCCAUUUGGCUGGAGAAUAUUAAUGCAUUCACUUGUUUUUCACGUUCUGUUGAAGAGGUUGCAUGCAACAUAAAGUUAUUGAUUUUAUUUUGUUCACACAUCAGGAGUGUUAGGAGUGUCAUAUUUGUACCCAGGAACUUUAACUGUAAAUGCAGAAGGAAUGCAAACUAAGUUAAUGUUUCAUGGUGGAGGAAUAAAUGAGUUUCUGUAGUAUGUGCACAAUGCCAAAGGUUUGCUCUCCAUGUUGUGUCUACUUGUAUAGCAUGUGCAAUAAUUUUCCUUGGCAUACAUUUUAAUAUUACCCUGAUGCAAAUAUUUGAUACUGUCAUCAGACCUACUAUUUUCAGUGAAGUUCAAGACAUUAUUAACAUCGCCAAUGUAAAGGAAUUUAAUUUAGCUCAGUAAGUUUAGUAACUGGCGUUCGAUCCCCAGCAGGGGCAGGGGAUUUUUCCCCAAUCCUCAGUGUCCAGACCAGUUCUGGGGCCCACCCACUCUCCUAUCCAAUGGGUUGCGGGGUUCUUUACCAGGGGUAAAGUGCGACUGGGGUGUGAUGCUGACCACUCACCCAUAUAUAGUGCCAAGGUCAAGAAUGAGGAGGAGCUAUACUACCUCUCACCCCAAGAACCUACACGGUGUAUAGUGGAACAGCUUUUACUCUUUUUACGGUCAUAUUUUAUUAGUGACAGAUUUCCCAAAUUAUUGAAAAACUACACACCAUGUGGACAAACAAACACUUGAAGACGGCAGAGGAGACUUUCAGACUACAAGGCUAAAAUGGGUCAAUAUGACCUAACUCUUUGACUGCUUGAUGAAAAUGAUAUUUUAUGAGUAGUCUGGCAACAGUAAAGAUUCUCUUCCUUAGAGCCAAACUGCACUUCUCACUUGGCAUAAAGUUAACAUAGCCAGAUAGUGCAAUAUAUCAGUGCCCCAAGGACAAAACUGUGUGCUUUGCCUACAUCACGGAAUAGUGGGUACAAGGAAAACGAAUACACAUACUACGCAAACCAAAGCUAUUAAUGACACUGGAAAUGAUACAGCCUGCCCCUGAGAAAUAAUGUUUUCACCACCCUGAACACGUCAAAUCCUACAAUGUUUGUAGGAUGGACAGUACUUGCUUCGUUAUCUGCUGCCUGUCUCCCUUCCAUCAUCUCCUUACCUUUUACUCCUAACAACCCUUUGAUGCACAGAUUCACCAUGCCUACAGGAAUCAGAUUCAUAAUGAAAGAGAUUUAGUUUUGAGAAAACAUUUUAAAUUCAUAACCUUAUAAGUCAAAUACUUACGAUAGUGCGAUAGCACUCAGAUUAUGGUUGUGGUGAAGUACGAAUAUAAAGCUUAACAUAGAGUCUGAUGACAUAUCCAUUACAUAGGGCUGUACAGGUUAGAGGAAUUUUGCUGCAGUUACUAACUUUUCUUUGUAUAAUUUCAGGUAUAAAUUUGUCGAUGAGGAGAGUUAUAUGCAGCAUGAUCAUGUAGAGGACAGAAGUCCGAACCUUGACAUGUCUUUGAAGAGCUUGACAUACGAAGAGUCAAAACGGUGAUCACCAUCAUGUAGACUUUCAUUACAACAAGAUGAAGUAUAAUUUGCAAAACUACAGGAAUUACAGACAUUAAUGGAAGAAGAAGAAUAAUUGUGUUUAAGUCUUAUCUAAAGUAUUAUAAGUUACAAUACCAGUUAUCAUUAUCACAAUCAAUGUAAAUACUGUAAUUAUUUGUUUAUUUUUUUAAUAAAUGGUGGUAACACCAAUUUUUAUGUU